CCCUUAGAUGUUAUGGGCUGCACACGUGCUACACUGGCAGGUUCAGCGAGCUUCAUGCCCUGAUCUGAAAGGAAUGGGAAAUCUUUUCAAAACCUGCCGUGCUUGGGAUAGAUGUUUGCAAUUAUUCAUCUUCAACGAGGAUUGCCUUGUAAGCGCACGUCAUCAGCGUGCAUUGAAUACGACCCUGUAUUCUGUACACACCGCCCGUCGCUCCUACCGAUUGAAGUUUUCGGUGAGUUGACAGGAGGAUUUUUUUGAAACUGGUUCGCCAGUGGAUUUUAGAUCCAAAUGCCAACGAAUCGAUGGCUUUAGAGGAAGGAGAAGUCGUAACA
rnacentral:rRNA from 1 species